AUGGCAAUUGAGCUUGAAUUGUUCAGUUUUCAAUUGUUUGUAAUGAAAGAAAUACUGAAAGGGAACGAUGCUGAGUUAGAAAAUCCAACCUUGCUUGUAGCAUACAAUUCAGUAGCACUAGGUUCGUUGCCUUUUUGUUCACUAAUCACACUACUACAGAUUUGUUCAGUUCUGAAUUUCUAA